GGGCUGUUGGGAGAUGGAGCCAGCAACACGGAAAUGGAUCCUUGGAAGCCCAGGAGCUGCACCUGAUCCUUGGGAUCCAUGGAUAUGUAUAGACAGGACCAUGAGGCUCUAAAGGAGCUGUUUUCCUUGGCUGUGCCGCCCUGGCUCCAGACUCUUCCCGUCUUCACGAGGUUUUGGGAAUUCCCAGACUUCACUCCCUGCUGGAAUCCAGGCUGGGAUGGGAUCAAGGAGAGGGCAAUGAAAUUCCAGCCAAUAUUCCUGGCUCCAUCUCCAUGCAGGAGUGGUGUGGGAAUGGAGAUUCCUGAGGGAAGGUUUGGGAAGGUUUGGGAAGGUUUGGGAAGGUAAGGUUUGGGAAGGUUUGGGAAGGUUUGGGAAGGGAAGGUUUGGGAAGGUUUGGGAAGGUNNNNNNNNNNNNNNNNNNNNUUUGGGAAGGUUUGGGAAGGUUUGGGAAGGUUUGGGAAGGUUUGGGAAGGGAAGGUUUGGGAAGGGAAGGUUUGGGAAGGUUUGGGAAGGUUUGGGAAGGGAAGGUUUGGGAGGAGGUUGGAUGGUUGG
rnacentral:lncRNA from 1 species